GCCGAUUUAGUUUAGUGGUAAAACAAAAGCAUGGUAAGCUUUAGAGGACGAUUCAAUUUCGUCAAUCGGCACCA
rnacentral:tRNA from 1 species